UACAGAGGUCCCAAGCGUUGUUCGGAUUCACUGGGCGUAAAGGGUGUGUAGGUGGCGCGCUAAGUCGGGUGUGAAAUUUCGGAGCUUAACUCCGAAACUGCAUUCGAUACUGGCGUGCUUGAGGACUGGAGAGGAGACUGGAAUUCAUGGUGUAGCAGUGAAAUGCGCAGAUAUCAGGAGGAACACCGGUGGCGAAGGCGGUUCUCUGGGAAUGUCCUGACGCUGAGGAGCGAAAGUGUGGGGAGCGAACAGG
rnacentral:rRNA from 1 species